CGGAGAGGGCGCAUGAGACAAGGGCCCAGGCCCUACGGGGCGCAGCAGUCGCGAAAACUCCGCAAUACGCGAAAGCGUGACGGGGCUAUCCCGAGUGCCAUCCGCUGAGGAUGGCUUUUCCCCAGUGUAUAAAGCUGGGGGAAUAAGGAGAGGGCAAGACUGGUGUCAGCCGCCGCGGCAAUACCAGCUCUCCGAGUGGUGGGGAUGCUUAUUGGGCCUAAAGCAUCCGUAGCUGGUUGGGCAAGUUCUCCGUUAAACCCAACGAUUCAAUCGUUGGGCUGCGGGGGAUACUGUCCGGCUAGGGGGCGGGAGAGGCCGACGGUAUUCUCGGGGUAGGGGUGAAAUCCUAUAAUCCCGGGAGGACCACCAGUGGCGAAGGCUGUCGGCUAGAACGCGCCCGACGGUGAGGGAUGAAAGCUGGGGGAGCGAACCGGAUUAGAUACCCGGGUAGUCCCAGCUGUAAACGAUGCAGGCUAGGUGUUGGCGCGGCUACGUGCCGCUCUAGUGCCGCAGGGGAGCCGUUAAGCCUGCCGCCUGGGAAGUACGGC
rnacentral:rRNA from 1 species